UCUGGCGGCAGUAGCGCGGUGGUCCCACCUGACCCCAUGCCGAACUCAGAAGUGAAACGCCGUAGCGCCGAUGAUAGUGUGGGGUCUCCCCAUGCGAGAGUAGGGAACUGCCAGAC
rnacentral:rRNA from 3 species